rnacentral:rRNA from 1 species
AACGAACGCUGGCGGCAUGCCUAACACAUGCAAGUCGAACGAGACCUUCGGGUCUAGUGGCGCACGGGUGCGUAACGCGUGGGAACCUGCCCUUAGGUUCGGAAUAACUCCCCGAAAGGGGUGCUAAUACCGGAUAAUCUCUUCGGACCAAAGAUUUGGCGCGUGUGGAUGGGCGCGAGUUGGAUUAGCUAGUUGGUGGGGUAGAGGCCUACCAAGGCUUCGAUGGGUAGCUGGUCUGAGAGGAUGACCGGCCACACUGGGACUGAGAUAAGGCCCAGACUCGUACGGGAGGAAGCAGUGGGGAAUAUUGGCCAAUGGGCGGAAGCCUGAUGCAGAAACGCCGCGUGCGGGAUGACGGCAUUCGGGUUGUAAACCGCUUUCGCCUGUGACGAAGCGUGAGUGACGGUAAUGGGUAAAGAAGCACCGGCUAACUACGUG